UACGUAGGGGGCGAGCGUUGUCCGGAAUUAUUGGGCGUAAAGAGCUCGUAGGCGGUUUGUCGCGUCUGCUGUGAAAACCCGAGGCUCAACCUCGGGCCUGCAGUGGGUACGGGCAGACUAGAGUGCGGUAGGGGGAGAUUGGAAUUCCUGGUGUAGCGGUGGAAUGCGCAGAUAUCAGGAGGAACACCAAUGGCGAAGGCAGAUCUCUGGGCCGUAACUGACGCUGAGGAGCGAAAGCAUGGGGAGCGAACAGG
rnacentral:rRNA from 1 species